rnacentral:rRNA from 1 species
GACGAACGCUGGCGGCGUGCUUAACACAUGCAAGUCGAGCGGAGCGGCGAACGUUUGAGUUACGCGUGAGUAAAUGCCCCCCUCUCUGGGAUAACAGUUGGAAACGGCUGCUAAUACACGAUAGUGGGGGAUGACUCGCUUCCUAUCAGCUUGUUGGUGGGGUAGUGGCCUACCAGGGCGACGCCGGGUAGCCGGCCUGGGAGGGCGACCGGCCACAUUGGGCGGCUAUACGGCCCAAACUCCUCCGGGAGGCAUCAGUGAGGAAUAUUGCACAAUGUGGGAAACCCUUAUGCAGCAACGCCGCGUGCAGGAUGGCGGCCUUAGGGUUGUAAACCGCUUUCAGCCAUGACGCGGUAGUGGCAGAAGAAGCACCGGCUAACUACGUGCCAGCAGCCGAGGUAAUUC